AUGGCACACUCGUGCCUUCUGUGCCACCGAAGCCCCGAAGUGCCCAGGCAUAUACCUUCACAUGUAAGUAAACGAAUGUAUCUCCUUGUUGAGAAUAUCACGCGAGUAGGCAGUUCUUGUGGGGCAUCACAAUCGUUUGAGAAGCGUCACAGAAGAGCAUUUUUCUACAUGCGGAGCGGCUUUUUUAUUUGCAGGUUUCCCUUCAGUAGGAAAUUGCUGGACAGGCGGACCAGCGCACCGGAAUUGUACUGGCGAAGCCACAAGCAACUCAAAGAAUCUGUUUAAUUGUUGCACUUUGAACAAUCAUGCUUCUACAAAGGCCACAGCAGAAAAACAGCCUGAUGCCGAGUAUUUCUGUGCCCCGAAGUAAUCAAGAGGCGAGUGCCUAAUGCGGACGAAAUCGAGUGCAUCGAGACUUAGAACGACAGAAAGCUGAGCUAGUUGAUAUGCAAUGGCAAGCCCUUCCGUUUGUUCCAAAGGUAAAAUUUAAGCUCUAAAUUAAAGAAGACAUUUCUAGUCAGAAACAAGCAAAAAUUGCGAGUGCAGAAUAUCAGAAGCCCAAGGUACAGAAACUAUGAGAAGUGUCAAAUGAUUUUAAGGAAAGAAUGGUAUUUGAAGAUGCAAGAUUCUUUAGUGGAAAUCAAGCAAGUCAGUAUAGGUAGAAUACUCUGAGAAGUUAUGCGAGUAAUGGGAUAGCACACAAUGGGUCAGGAAAUGCGUUGUUUUUCUGAAAAACUAAAGCUGAUGACUGUCAUAUCAUGAGUCACUUUAGCAUCAUGAGAUUGCUGUUUGAUAAAUUCAGAAACAAACCAAAAAGCAAGCCAUGCAAAAAAAAAACUAUUUAAUGAUGCUCUCUCCACACUGGGAUAAAUAAUAAGAAACGGAUCACGUCUAAUGUGGACAUAUCAGACACCUUGUGAAACACUAAAGGAAAAAUUCAGUUUCGAGCUAUGGCACUUGCCGCAUAGAUGUGGGGGGCCUUGCACCAAUAGUAAUAGUUACCACUGCAUCUAAAAAUUUAAAGCAUUCAUGCAGACAAGGAUGAUUCUUUAUAUUUUUGGCUACCACUUCAAAUGCCUCCACUAAGUGUUACAAUGCUGCACGCAGCCAUACUAAGGAUCUCACAGCAACACUUGCAGGUAAACAGCAAAAACAGUCAAAGUGCUGGUGUAUUCUGGACACUGUCUUUGAAAACUUUUAGGCAAGAACAGUGCAAGAAACAGACAUAAGAACUGCAUUUAUUUCUAUAAUUCCCCAUUUGAAUGGCCGUUUCUUUUUCCUUCGACAAUGCCUUCGCCUAGCCACAACAGCUCCCUCAUACAGACUCAGCAAGCCAAGAGGCCGUGGAGGCAAAUGCAGACAGCCAGCACACCUCGAACAGCCACCUUGACUGCGGGUGUGUCACCCUAGUCGCCAAGGGAACAUUUGAGGGAAAGCGACAGGCAAUGUGAACAGCGACUUCUCCAUGUAAACGAUACUCUUUCUCUCGGAUGACUCCUACGUUCGCCACGCCAGCACACUUGUGCACAAAGAUGCCGCGGAGGCA